rnacentral:rRNA from 1 species
UACGGGGGGGGCAAGCGUUGUUCGGAAUUACUGGGCGUAAAGGGCUCGUAGGUGGCCAACUAAGUCGGACGUGAAAUCCCUCGGCUUAACCGGGGAACUGCGUCCGAUACUGGUUGGCUUGAGUUUGGGAGAGGGAUGCGGAAUUCCAGGUGUAGCGGUGAAAUGCUUAGAUAUGACAUAGAACACCAAUUGCGAAGGCAGCUUACUACACAGUUAUUGACGCUGAGGCACGAAAGCGUGGGGAUCAAACAGG